GACCGCGACCCUAGGUCAA
rnacentral:rRNA from 1 species